rnacentral:rRNA from 1 species
GAUGAACGCUGGCGGCGUGCCUAAUACAUGCCAGUCGAGCGAACGGACGAGAAGCUUGCUUUUCUGAUGUUAGCGGCGGACGGGUGAGUAACACGUGGAUAACCUACCUAUAAGACUGGGAUAACUUCGGGAAACCGGAGCUAAUACCGGAUAAUAUUUUGAACCGCAUGGUUCAAAAGUGAAAGACGGUCUUGCUGUCACUUAUAGAUGGAUCCGCGCUGCAUUAGCUAGUUGGUAAGGUAACGGCUUACCAAGGCAACGAUGCAUAGCCGACCUGAGAGGGUGAUCGGCCACACUGGAACUGAGACACGGUCCAGACUCCUACGGGAGGCAGCAGUAGGGAAUCUUCCGCAAUGGGCGAAAGCCUGACGGAGCAACGCCGCGUGGGUGAUGAAGGUCUUCGGAUCGUAAAACUCUGUUAUUAGGGAAGAACAUAUGUGUAAGUAACUGUGCACAUCUUGACGGUACCUAAUCAGAAAGCCACGGCUAACUACGUG